rnacentral:rRNA from 1 species
GCGUAAGCGCGCGUAGGCGGUUUUUUAAGUCUGAUGUGAAAGCCCACGGCUCAACCGUGGAGGGUCAUUGGAAACUGGAAAACUUGAGUGCAGAAGAGGAAAGUGGAAUUCCAUGUGUAGCGGUGAAAUGCGCAGAGAUAUGGAGGAACACCAGUGGCGAAGGCGACUUUCUGGUCUGUAACUGACGCUGAUGUGCGAAAGCGUGGGGAUCAAACAAGAUUAUAUACCCUGGUACCCCCCCCCGUAAACGAUGAGUGCUAAGUGUUAGGGGCUUCCCCCCCC